rnacentral:rRNA from 1 species
GAUGAACGCUGGCGGCGUGCCUAAUACAUGCAAGUCGAGCGAACAGACGAGGAGCUUGCUCCUCUGACGUUAGCGGCGGACGGGUGAGUAACACGUGGAUCACCUACCUAUAUUACUGGGAUAACUUCGGGACAGCGGAGCUAAUCCCGGAUAAUCUCUUGAACCGCAUGGUUCGAUGGUGAGAGACGGCUUUGGUGGAUCUUAUCGCGGGUUCCGCGCUGCUUUAGCUAGUUGGUAGGGUAACGGGUUUCCAAGGCAACGAUGCGUAGACGACGUGAGAGGGGGAUCGGCCACACGGGAACGGAGACACGGUCCAUACUCCUACGGGAGGCAGCAGUAGGGAAUCUUCCGCAAUGGGCGAAAGCCUGACGGAGCAACGCCGCGUGAGUGAUGAAGGUCUUCGGAUCGUAAAACUCUGUUAUUAGGGAAGAACAAAUUUGGAAUUAACUAUGCACGUCUUGACGGUACCUAAUCAGAAAGCCACGGCUAACUACGUG